GGGCUCACUUCAUCAGUACAUAUGUUAAAAUAAAAAUAAUACAGAGAAGAUUAGCAUGGCAUUUUCAAAAGAAUAUAUGCAUAUUUGUGAAGCAAUUCAUAAUUUU